rnacentral:rRNA from 1 species
ACGUAGGGUGCAAGCGUUAAUCGGAAUUACUGGGCGUAAAGCGUGCGCAGGCGGUGAUGUAAGACCGAUGUGAAAUCCCCGGGCUCAACCUGGGAACUGCAUUUGUGACUGCAUCGCUGGAGUGCGGCAGAGGGGGAUGGAAUUCCGCGUGUAGCAGUGAAAUGCGUAGAUAUGCGGAGGAACACCGAUGGCGAAGGCAGCCCCCUGGGCUAGCACUGACGCUCAGGCACGAAAGCGUGGGGAGCAAACAGG